rnacentral:rRNA from 1 species
UACGUAGGCAGCAAGCGUUGUUCGGAGUUACUGGGCGUAAAGGGUGUGUAGGCGGUUGUUUAAGUUUGGUGUGAAAUCUCCCGGCUCAACUGGGAGGGUGCGCCGAAUACUGAAUGACUAGAGUGCGGGAGAGGAAAGUGGAAUUCCUGGUGUAGCGGUGAAAUGCGUAGAUAUCAGGAGGAACACCGGUGGUGUAGACGGCUUUCUGGACGACAACUGACGCUGAGACGCGAAAAGCGUGGGGGAGCAAACAGG